UUCCGGAGGUGAACUUGCGGAAGGAUCAUUA
rnacentral:rRNA from 1 species